rnacentral:rRNA from 1 species
UGAAGUGUCAAAAGGCAAGCCUCUCUCACUGGGUGACCGGAGAGACGUCCGCUCAGGCGUGCGGCCGCGGAUGUCGCCGGCAGGAGUGGUGGGAGAGCUGUCCUUAACUCUGUCGACCUCAGAUCAGACGAGAAUACCCGCUGAAU